ensembl:misc_RNA 7SK 7SK RNA
GGAGUUGAGAUUUGGCUAUGAAAUCAGUCACCCCACUAAUCACCAGUUUGGCUGAUUUGGCUGGGUAGGUGGGUGUUCACUUCUUCUCUCACAGCUCCACAUGCAUCCCUCCUGAAACUGUGAAUUUGAUCGAAGAGAAUGAUCUUCUCUGAUUAAAGAGGACUGGUCUUCAGUCAAGGGUAUGAGAGUAGCUGUGCUCCCCUGCUAAAACCUUCAAAUCAGCACUCAUCAGUCUUAACCAAGGUCAACAAUCUCUAAGGAUGGUGCCCUCAUUCAUUGCUUUUCUCCUCAUAAAGAAUAUUGUUAAU